UAUGUAAGAUGAACAUUGGCUUGGUCCAGAAAGGCAGGGCCUCAGUGACAUCAAUCAACGUAUGUAAGAUGAACACUGGCUUGGUCUGGAAAGGCGGGGCCUCAGUGACAUCAAUCAUCAUAUGCAAGAUGAACAUUGGCUUGGUCCAGAAAGGCGGGACCUCGGUCCAGAAAGGCGGGACAACUUGAAGCCAAGACAGGAAGCAGGAAAGGGGCUUCCAGGUCACAGCACAAAGAGGCAAAGCAGAAGCAGCAGACAGGACGUCAAAGAACCAGUGCAUGGCUGCGCCGGGCCCCGGGGCUUCCCACACGGGUUACUGUCAUCCUUCCGAAUCACUGGACUUGAAGCCCAGCAUGUUGCUGAGUUUUGCUCCAGAGACAAUUGCCAUUUGUUAUUUAAGUGACAAAGGUAACGCAUGCCGGCGGGAAGCAAUGCACAAAAUGUGAAGCUCAUACAGGAAGCUUAUUGGAGCCUCACAUCUGGAAAGCACUACAGACCGCACCGCAGACCGCACGACAGACCGCACCGCAGACCGCUCUACAGACCGGCACAUGCGCAACCCUGCCCGGCUGCUCUCCCUCCCUGCCUGGCUGCUCUCCCUCCCUGCCCAGCUGCUUUCUCUCCCUGCUGUGACCAGGCCAUUUUGGUGCAUUAUCUGUGCUCAGCGCUUUCCUCCUCUAUUUGAUGACUUUUCCAGGCAGUGGGCCUGGGGGUGAAGUCCCCUUGACCUUUGGGCUCCACCCAGGCACCUGGAGCCCCUGGGCUCUUCCCCUGCAGGGAACUGUUAGCAUCCUGCACUUUGCCCUCCUCCCAUCCUGCCCACGGGAGAUGCAGCGUGAACUCCUAGUCCUCAAAAAGGCUUAAAAAUUGCUCUACAUUUUA